UGAUUCUUUCGCCUUUUACUAAAGAAUUCCGUGGAGAGGAGCAGUUCAAUGAGUCUUGAACAUUUUUCGAUAUCCGACUUUGGUCGGUUU
rnacentral:snRNA from 1 species